ACUUCCUUCGUCACUUUGUAUAUCUUUUUUGCUACCUCGUGAGGCUUUUGUUUGCUCAGAGCUCUUGUUUAUUCAUUGCUUCUGCUUACUCAUGAAGUCUGAAUACUGCCUUCUCUCUGUGUCUUUCAGCUUAUGCUUUCACUGAUCAUCUUUUCUUAUUUCUCCAGUUCUGAUUCCUGAAAGAGAAAAUCAUUGGCACAGUUAAUUGCCAUCUUCUUGAGCGAAACUUCCAUGCCAGGAUACUCUAUAGGCUCAUGUCCAGCCUAUUGAUCAGCUGCUCCUAGGAAUUUAUUCUAAAGAAGGAAGUACUGGUGUAUGCAAGCAAAACUAUGUACCAAGCAGUUCAUAAAUGAAUUGCCUCGCUCUUCUUCCAGUCACACAAUACCCCAAAUCUCUGUGGACCCUGAAUGAGAGAUUUCGAGCGGCACACUGCAUCACCUGUAGUCGCAGGCGUCGUCUCGAACGAUUUCAGGUGUAUCAGCCGAGCGGUGAGAAACUGGAGGGAAUCGGCAAU